rnacentral:rRNA from 1 species
UACGGAGGGGGCAAGCGUUGUUCGGAGUGACUGGGCGUAAAGCGCACGUAGGCGGUAAUGUAAGUCAUGGGUCAAAGGCGACAGCUUAACUGUCGUAAGGCCUGUGAAACUAUGUUACUAGAGUAUCGGAGAGGAAUGCGGAAUAUCUGGUGUAGCGGUGGAAUGCGUAGAUAUCAGAUGGAACACCUGUUGCGAAGGCGGCAUUCUGGUCGGUAACUGACGCUGAGGUGCGAAAGCGUGGGGAGCAAAC